UUCUCGGCGGUCAGGGAGGUGUCCCACGUUGCGCCUCGGCCAUGGGCGCCCGUACCGGAGGCGGGAGCUCGUGGGAGCUGGGGCCAUGAGGGGAACGGGCUGUGCGUCCGCGUGUCCGCGUCCCCAGGUAGGGGAGCGUUUAGGCCUCAGGGAAAGGGGCCAAUCUCGGCACCGCUGAAAGGAUGGUUUUGACAAUGCAGCUUGGCACGUUUCCUAUCCGCCUGAUGCUUACACCAUACGCCGUCUGCCGUGGGAUGUGGCUUUCUUAAGCCCUUAACUCCGCCAAGAAGGCCUAGUGAGUUAGCACACCUACCGGAAAGGCCUAUGAACAGCUCAUGCACAGCAGAAGCAAUUUGAGUCCCUGGAGGCUUCUCAUCCUCUCUGACUUCUGCAUUCACGUCUUCUUGCAUUAUGCCCUCUCACCGGUGAUUUUGUUGCUCUACCGGAUUCCUUCAGCCUCGUUCGGGGUGUUUCCUCGACCACCCAGGCAGCUCUGCUGCAUCUUGCUGCGUUCUCCUCCGCUGUGAACGGCCUGGCAGAGAGUGAGGCUUCCCUCGGCACACCAGCGGACGCCGGCGUCCUCCCCUUUCUCUCAUGCACUGAUACGCCAGCAGCCAGCCAGCAGAUCUGCCACAGACCCUCGUUGACCUGGACAGCCAAGGAGUCUCUCUUCCCACAGGCACCGCGUCUGCAGCGGCAUUCGUCGGCGAGGCCCUUUCUUGGUGUGGCCCAUGGGCUUCCAGCUCCCCCCCCCCCGAAACCUCCCCCAGCUUUUCUGGAAGUGGUCUAGACACUUCUCCCCUUAUAUUUAUGAACUGCCUGAUUUUUUUGGAGAUGCAAACACGCUGGGAGGCCAGGUGUGAGCUCCUGGUACAACAGGCCUGGUAACAACUCUUUGAUUCGGUAAGGCAUAGAGUUUCCCUCACAUGGUGAUCCAGAGUGUGUGAAAAGUUUUUAUGCAACAAAUCUCAUAAUGUGUAUCAGUCUGUACAUAGGCAAACAUCUGUAAACGGCCCUUACAAGGUGGUGAAUCUGAGCUGGCAUAGGAUGCCUCAGCAUAGUAAUGCAUUAGGAUAACCAGUCCCCCAAAAGUCUUUGAAGGAGACCACAGCAAAUGUUCUGGCAUGCAAAAAUGGUGAAUGGGUUGAAAAGUGCUGUUCUGGGAGCAGACAGAUUUGAAGACUGAUCACAGAUUGAAGAUCUGCCACACCUACUGUGCGAACACACUGGAGCCAUACGCCAAUGGAAACUUCAUUUUUUUCCAAAAUGAAAUUUAAUCAGAUGACUCAUUCCUACAGAAAAAUACUCAGCGAUUUUUUUCAGCCAGUUCAGACUGACUUUUAACUAUUUGCCAGUUACAGAAAGUUACUCAAACAAUUUUCCCAUUUACUGUCCUCUUUCACUGUAUUAUGCACGACUUCCAAUGUACAUUCUUGCAGAGGAUUAAAAAUACGUUAUUGACUCGGCUCCAAAAGUCCCUGCCACGCUAGCUGGAAGGGCUCCGCGCUCGCUGGCUUCCCUUGAAACCUCUUGGCUGCUGGGCCUGCCCUGGUAGUGGCUCUUCCUGUCUCUCUCCGAGAGCGCUCCGGUCCCAGACCGCUCGUUCGCGGCUGAAGCGCAGAGCGCUCGAGCAGUCACCGCCUCCGUCUCCAGCCUGCUGGGGAUUCUCGCCAGAUGGCAGGGGCUGGAGCAGCGCGUCUUGGCGUGCAGGAGCGGUUGUGGCUGAUACGUUGCUCUAAUAGUAUCUCAUGAGGGGCUUUGUCAAAGAAGUCUGGAGGUGGUGUCAACCACUUCUCCUUUAUCGAGUACCGAAUGGGCAUGUUCUAAGAAUUCCAGUAGGCUGGAGGAAAGGUUUUCCUCUGCAGAGGCAUCGUGCUUGGUCACUUUCACGUCGCUUUAUGUGAACGCUUCAAAUCUUUAUUUUGAAUGAUCAGUUAAAGCAAUUAUCCUGGUAUGCCAAUUAUCCUGCAGUGACCCUUAUUCCCACUUCUGCUGCUGCUGGGAAAGAACACGUGUGAGUGUGGAAGUAAGUGCAAGGCUCGUUAUCUUCCUGUCCGUCGGAUUAGUAGCUGACUUUACGGAGCAAGCAUAUUUUUGUAAGCAGUUCAAACACUUCGUUCUUUCAAGAGCUCCUGGAUGAUUACUGCAGCUUUUGAGGGCUAAAAUUGUUUAAAGUUUGUAUUUGUGGUGACUAGCGCACACAGGAUAGCCAGGGACCACGCAGUUCUGGUGUGUGUCUUAUAACUUGUUAGGUGGUGUAGUACAUAAGUGCUAUCAUUAUUGCGGUGUUAGGACUAUAGCUCCAGUAUUUAUGCUCGUGGAUCGAACAGUGUCUCGAUAGCAAAAGGAUCUCUUACUUUACGCAGCCCAAGAUGUGAUAUUGUUUUGACACAGAAUUUAGCCGUUUUGCAUUUGAAAAUGUAUUUAACAGAUGAAGAAGAGAUUCUCAUGUGUAUGGAUGAUAUCGUACACAGUUUCCAUGACUUUUUCCAAAAGAGAAGCUAAUUGGCCUUCUUUAAAAUGCAGGACAGGGAGGUUUGUUCGGUUUGGUUUUCAAAUAUGAAAAUCAGUGUUUAGGAAAUAGCAGUAAUCACUAUGAGUUGGUUUGUGCUGCAGAAUUUUGCACGUGCAGUUACAGUAGUCUGAAACAUGUAGCAGUGUUAUUGCUCAGGACCCUCUCAGGAAAGUUGUCUUGCUCUCACGUCCUGCCUUGUAGAAAGAUGCAGGAGCCUCCUCAAGGCAGGAUAUUCCUCUCUUAUGUGCACAUAAAUGAUUGCAUUGAAUAAUGUUUUGUAUAUAGUCCCACAUGUAUUCCACCCUUUGAAACCUGGUUAUAAAUCACCUUUAUAAAAGUUUAUUGUACCACAACAGAUCUAUCGUCCCGAAAUAACUGACAGACAAUUUCAAUUUCAAAUCUUUCAUGAUACUGAUACCCAAAAGCACUGUGACGUUACCAAUUUUUGUGAUGUUAUAAAGUUUUUUUUGAGGAGCCAGUGAGAUUUUAAAGAUCUGUGUGUGGGGAUGGAGCUUCUGUCUGACUGCUCAGACCCUGGCGUGCCUGGUCUCGCUCGAAGACGCGGGGACGUUCCUCGGGCACUUCAGCCCAUCGCCAGCCUUGUGAUACAAGGAGGCCUUCCAGGUGCUGGAUCAUCUCCAUCACGCGCUGCCUUUACGGGUCCUCUCCUGCUUCCAGCCCCUGCAGGACGCAGAUUUCCCCGGCUGAUCCUGCUCUCCCGGGCUGGCCGCUCUGCUGGGAAGGGGGGGCCACCGUGGCCAGUGCUGCGCGGCACAGCUCCGGAGCAGGGCACGAAGUCGCGGUGCUGUCGGCACCUGGUAAUUUUGAUCUCCCUUUGGUAUCGGGUGCAUUUAGGAUUGCAGUUCUGGCACGGAGGAGGUGUCUCAGCCAAACUGAGCUACUGUUCAUCUGCGAACAUGCUUUCAUGGGCACUGUGUUUUUCUUUUCAUACCUGCUAAUGUGAUAUAGCAGGGGCUAUUCUGUACCGUGUGCGCAAAUCAAAGCGAAACCUGGCAGGCAGCCGGGGAGCCCUGCCACGCGUCUCAGCUGCUCUCAGCGCUUGCAGGCUGCUCCGUUUCCCCAACUUUGCUCCUGCGCAUUUUUCUCCCAGCAGCUUGGAAACAGGAGUCUUGUGGUCAAGAGCUUCCUGAUGAUUUGGCCUAGAGGUGUAAACAGAUAAAGUUCAUUCACGAGGGUUUCUUGUAAAUAAGAAUCAAGUUUGCAGUUCCUUUUUUUUUUUUCCUUCUCCUCUCCCCUCUGGUAUUUCAAAGACAAAAGUGCCAAACUCCUCCCUCCACAGGUGGAGUCAGCAAAUUGGCAGGGACAUUAGAGACUUACUUUCAGGAAAAAGGGGGAAAAGGGUUUUUUUCUUUCUUUUUUUAAACUCUGAGCACCAUUACCCCUCACCUCUGAACCAAGAAAGACUUUACGUGGUGUCAUAAUUUAGCAAAUUACUUCCUCAAAGGAAGGUCAAACAUUUUACCAUUCGAUCAAUAGGAAGCGACUUACAAAUCAUGUGUAUUGAUCAUCGUAAUCAUUCAGAGGAAUGUAGGGCAGACACUAAAAUCACAUGCACUUAGUCUUAAUUGCCCACAUUAAAGCAAUUAUGCCCCAAAACUGUCAUUGUCUAAUGCUGUGCACACUACCCAGUGUGGUAACUUUUAGCCAUACAUAUUUAAUCAUAAAUCAGCCUCUUUGGUCUGUUGCACUGAAGACCUACAAUAUUGCUGUAAUUAUGCAAAUAAAACUGUCUUUUUUCA